rnacentral:lncRNA from 1 species
GUCCUGGUAUCUAUUAUGUGUUUAUUUACAACCACUGGGUCGAUGCCACUGCUGGUGGAGAUUUAUUUCCCGGAGGGUAUCACAAGCCCAGUUGUCAGCACUUUUUGUGCUGAUAUGAAUUGUCAUUGAUAUGGUUAUAUUGAUAAAUUUACUGUUUUUUUUUUUAUUUUUUGAAAUACUAAGGCUUUUCUACCUCAGGCAUAGAUCACCUUAGCUGUAUUUGGCAAAACUUUUAGGAAUUUUGGUUCUCAAUGCUCCUCAACUUAGUACUUUAAUUGGCCUUUUUAACUUUUU